rnacentral:rRNA from 1 species
ACAGAGGGUGCAAGCGUUAAUCGGAAUUACUGGGCGUAAAGCGUGUGUAGGUGGUUUUCUAAGUCAGAUGUGAAAUCCUUGGGCUCAACCCGAGAACUGCAUUUGAUACUGGAUAACUAGAGUGCGGUAGAGGAUGGUGGAAUUCCCGGUGUAGCGGUGAAAUGCGUAGAUAUCGAGAGGAAUGCCAGAGGCGAAGGCGGCGCACUGGACGGCAACUGACACUCAACUGCGAAAGCGUGGGGAGCAAACAGGA